rnacentral:lncRNA from 1 species
AAAAAACCUGUAGCCUCACCUCAAUCGGCAACUUCAAUGUUGUUUCUCUACCAGCCGACCAUCACCGAUUUCCUCUCCUCCCAUCCCUAAUUUCAAUUUAAUCCCUCUGUUGGCAAAUUAGGUCAUCCCUGAGAUUAGCCUACUUAAAUCGGGUGCACACUUAAACCAACUUGAAUCCUCCAACUUCAAGGGGUAACGACAUCGUACGCCUUGAGUCUCUCUCACCAAGCGAAGAAUCUCCGGCGUCUCAUUCCAGCCACUGUUUCCUUGUUUCUCCGUUUAUCAGCUCCUGCGAUUGGCUCUCUUGUAUAACAACAGAAUACAGGUAUAUGAUUUGAUUAUUACCAUUUUCAAGGGGUAACGACUAAUCUGUUUGUUUCAAAUUUACAUUUUCUCGCAAGUUGCUUAGAUGGAUCUAUCAAAAGUAUGUUGUUGAAUAAAGAUCUGUACAGUUGUAAUUAGUCUUUUUAAUUGCGUGAAUUUGAGAUGUUUCAAUUCUUUGCUUCCUAAUAAUCGAUGUUGCAUACAUAUCAUGCAUUCCAACUGUUCGACGAAAUGCCAGUAAAAAAAAAUAUUUAUUUUCUCAAAAAAAAAAAGAUUUAUUUAAAGAAAAUGAUAAAUGAAAGGCUUUUCUUGUUUGCAGAUACAAUUGAAGUCUUCAGCAGAAGAAAUGCAUGCCAUUAUUAAGGGUCUUGAAAAGGUCAGACAAGAACUAGAUGCUUCAGCAAACGAUGGCCCUGUCUAUGAAGUUUUUCAUAAAGUAAAUACACAAAUAUUUUACUCAAUUUCUUCUAAUUCGAUAUCUUUUUUUAUAUAAAACUACAAUCUUAUGCGAAUAUUUCUUUUUGUUGCAUUGUUAGACACCGAAUCAGUUUAUCAGUAUUGUUGAGUUGGAAGUGGGGUCCGUAACAAAUUUGUAUUCUGUGGUGGUAAGAAUCAAGAACAACCCUUUGAAUUAAACUUUAUAUAUAUUUUGUAUUAUUUUAUAAUGUUUGUGUUGUAGGGUAGAAAUGUUGAUGCAUUGGCAUUAUAUUUUGGUUAAGAUCCUGCUCGUUGCCCUUUUGAACAAGGUAACAUAUUUAAUUGGCAUGUUCUUUUUAUAAGGAAUAAUAAUAAUAAUAAUAAUUGUUGAAUUGAAUAUGUUUGAAAGUAUAAGAGAAGAAUGAUGGUUUAUGGCUAUGGUUGUAGUUAAUUCUUUAAGAAUAUUCAAAACCAUUCUUCAAGAAUAGUUUAUUCUGUAAGAAUAUUAUUGUUGUAUUCUGAUACAAUUAUAGUUAAUUAUUUGUAUGUUUAAUGUGCAGUUGUUACAAGUGUAUCACUACGAAUUACUCGAUGAUGAAUUUCUGAUAGAAAUGGCUUGAAGAAUGGCUUGAAGACCAGCUGAUGGGAAAGGCUUGAAGAAUGAAUUAAAGAAUGAUCACACUCAUUGUUUAAGAAUGUUAUUAUUUUUUAAGAAUUAUAGUUGUUAUUUUUUCAGAAUGUUUUUUUAUUAUUCAAUGAAUCACAAUCAUACAACGUGAUUAUUUGGUAUAUUAUUAGUUUAAAAAUCGAUUUUGUGUAUUCUUUCAGAAUGUAUUUACUAGUUUAUGGUUGACAUUCUGUCAUUCUAACAGAAUAAAAUCGAAAAAUAUAUUUACUAGUUUAUUGCUAACAUUCUAUCAUUCUAACAAAAAAAAAUCAGAUUUUUAAGUUUGAGUUAAUUUAAAAUAUUCAGAUUUUAAAAAUAAAGGAAUUAAUUAUUCCUAAAAAUAUGAAAAUUUCUUUUUUUAAUAUAGCUUAAUUGACUAAAAUGCCCUUAUGCUGAAAUUUGUUAUANNNNNNNNNNNNNNNNNNNNNNNNNNNNNNNNNNNNNNNNNNNNNNNNNNNNNNNNNNNNNNNNNNNNNNNNNNNNNNNNNNNNNNNNNNNNNNNNNNNNNNNNNNNNNNNNNNNNNNNNNNNNNNNNNNNNNNNNNNNNNNNNNNNNNNNNNNNNNNNNNNNNNNNNNNNNNNNNNNNNNNNNNNNNNNNNNNNNNNNNNNNNNNNNNNNNNNNNNNNNNNNNNNNNNNNNNNNNNNNNNNNNNNNNNNUAUAUAUAUAUAUAUAUAUAUCUUUACUAUCUUAUAAAAGAAAUCUCACUAUUUCUAUAAAUAGAUUGAAUAUAAUAAUAUUAUUUUUUAAGACGUCCAACCCAUUAAGCUAAUAAUACAAGUAACUACUAAUAAAAUAAUAUUAAAUUUAAAAUGUUCAAAUAACUAAGCAGAAAAACUAUUAAUUGAUGCAUAUGAAAUGUUAUCUUCCUAUUCUCUCGAACUGUUCCUACCAUUUGACCCAGCCCUUUUUGAAUCCUGAAAAUUUUGCAGAUUUGUCAAACAUUUAAUUUUGAAUUCCAGUUUCUCGGCAUCUAUCUCUCGAAUUUGAGCUCAUCAUGUCGCGGCUCACCACUUGGAGAAAGCCAAAAAAGAUCGUCGGUUCUUCUUCCUCAACCCUACUCUCAAUUCCGCAACACGAACUUGUUCUUCCCUUCUCAUCCUCUCUCCUUUGAGCGCACCAGAAUCGUUGCUAUCACCUAACCUUCUAUUAAAAAACCCGCUGGGUCACCACCCUUAUCUGUAGUCUAGGGCUCAAUUUGUCUCUGACAACGAUUCAAGCCAAAAACGUCUUCAAUGAUUUUGGAUUUCGGGUAUGAUAUAUCUUUUUCACAAUGAAUCAGGGCUAAAUGUAACAAAAAAAUAUAUUCCUUGCAGCUUUGUUAUGUGGGGCUUGGAAGCAGUAUAGUUGGGAUUUGGGUUUUGAUCUAUAAACCGUCUACAGUAAUCUCUUCCAUUUUUUGGUGUUUAAUAGACUAUGAAACUAAUUUUUAUUACCACUCCUCUGUAUCUCUCUAAAAACAAAUUAGGAUUUUUUAAAUUUGAAUUUUAGAAAUUGAAAUCUGCAAAGCAUAUGGUCACAAAUUUGACUUUGUAGCUUGGGAUGUUAAUGUAAUUCUCUUUUGGUCUCAUGAACCUGCUGAUUCUCCUUAAAAAUCCAACAUACAUCUACAUGGUAUUGUUGAUCUUACUCACACUCUCACACCAUUGGCCCUUCAACAACCAUAUGUCUCAGGUUCUGACGAAUUCCCAUAUUAGGGAUGUUUUGGAUCUGAUGAAGAUUCUCUUGGAAAGUAAGUUGCAUUUUCUUUACAUCUACUCUUUAAGCAUGAUUUAUUAUAAUUUUUUUUAUAUUUUUUUCUUAUGUUUUGAUCAGUUUUUUUAGUUAUUUAUUAAAACAAAGUAAAGAACUUGAUGACUUCAAAUUAAGGAGUAAAGGGUCAAGAGGUCGUUGGAGCCUUUGAUUGUGCAAUUAAUUUUUAUUUUUUUUACUUUGCUUGGAACUUGUAUGAGUCAUAGAGUUUGCUUAUUAAGGUGGCAGAGAUUAACUGAUAGAUUGUUUAUAAUUAACUGUUAUUUGCAGGUAUUGUUACUUUUCCAUACUUUUUCAGGAACUAAAAUCUUUAGAAAGGAGUUAUGAACUGUCUUGUAAGAGCUUCAGGUAUAUCAUGUUAUAAAUUUUUAUUUAUUUUAAUUUGUUAUUACCAUUUUUCCUCUUGGUUUUGCUUUGGUUUCUUGCUGAUGUAUUUACGAAGUACCAUGCCUCUAUUGUCUGCUGCUUGAUAGUAUACUAAUUUUGAUGUGCGUUUUUUUCUAAUUUUGACCAUUUUACCCCUUGGUUUUGCUUUGGGAAUUUUCUGAUGGUUCACCGAGAAUGGAUUUCAUGCCAUAUAUUCUUUAUGUUGAAGUUGGAGAGGUGGAUUCAUGAUUUUUUUUCUUUUUCUUCAGUUUGGUUUGUUUAUUUUUACCUUUCUUAAUAUUGCAUACAAUUAGUUUCCUCUUUCUAAUAUAUUGGUGCCUAACACCUCCAAAAUUCAUUCCAUUAGCUAUGUGUAGUGACUCUAAGACAUUCAAAUGAAAGUUAUUCCAAGUGUGGCUUCUAAUUUUAAGAUAUAUAUUUGAAAUAUUCUUAGAUUUUGAUGAAGAUUAUUGAUUGUGGAAACUGUUUUGUAGAUCUUGGAAUUUUAAAUCUGCACUAAAAAUGCAUCAAUUGCAACACCCAUUAUUAACAAACGAAGGUACCUAUUUUUUUCCAUUUUCAUUUUAUUUUUCUUAUGCCUGUGUAUGUGAUAUGGUCGACUAUAGUAAUGGACGAAAAUAUUGCUACAUUUUUAUGCUAGAUGCAACAUAUUUCUACCACUUGUAAAGAAAUGUAACUAUGAUACUAUUUUGGAUAAUAAAAUCAUAGUACAUUGCUUUUAUGAGAAACAUAAUUAAGUGCAUUACCUAUAUUAGUAAAAAAGAGAAGUGUAAUGUUAUUUUCUAUAUUUUUGCCUAAAAAUAUUUGACCAACUUACUUUUCUUUUUUGUGUAGAUCAGAUGCUAAUUUAUUAAUCCAAUGAAAUUAUUAGUAUUUUGAAGUCCUACAAGUCUCUGAUGUUCUAAGUUAGUUAUGGAGUCAUCAAAAAUUCAUUAAUACUAAAUAGUUUUGGGGUGCAUUAUUUUGUCCAGUUGGUGCAGGUCUUACUAGAUCUAUGUACAUUUGACUGCUUGCUUUACUAAGCAUCUUUGCCCAUCUAGAUUUCCACAAUUCAAGUUGGGGUGGUUGCACUACUCAAUUCCUAUUUAUUUGUGAUCAAUCACAUUUACCCUUUUAUUAUAUUUUGUUUUUUUUUUUUUUAUUCUUUUUGUUGACUUUUGAACUUUGUAUCUUGCCCGGCUUUUCGCUAACUUUUCUUUAAUUUUAAUAAAAAUAGACACUCUUCUAAAAUAAGUAUCCGUAAGGUUUCUUAGAAGAUUAGAUGUUGUUUUGUUCUUAAUAGAAUUAUGUACCUGGUGGUCCAAUCGUCGACUAGAUGUUGUUUUGUUCUUAAUAGAAUUUGUUAUUAACUUUUUUUUCUCAUUGUUUUCUUUGUUGAUCGGUUAGUUGUUGAAGCUAAAUAUAGAAUGCCCGUAACAGGUAAAUCAUUAAUGGUCACUAUAUUUGAAUAUUUUUUUAUUUAUAUCAAUUUUAUGGAUUCUAAUUAUAAAGAUACUAAUCGUAUUUGAUAGAAGGAGAAUGUUAAACAUGCCACAUAAAUGAAAAUUUAGAUAAAACGAAGAAUUAGGCACAUCAUACACGUCUUGAGAUCCAUAACUAUUUCAUUUUUCACAAGUUUUUUUUUUUAUUUUUUUAUAUUACAACGUUUUGAAAUCAUGGCUUUUUCUUCCUACCAUUUUCUUUGACAAUAAUCGGGCAAUUACAAUUUUGAUUGUAUCACAUAGUGUGCCAUAUUAUCUAUUUCCUUUUGAUUGUAUCACUUAAAAGAAGUUAGAAAAUUGACUAUUUUACAUUUGUUUUGUAUACCUCUGUCAUUUGUCAGACUUCGUGAUCAACAAAGUUGAGAUUAUGUCAUAUAUUUCAUCUUAAGUUCUUUAAGUUUUAUCUUAAUAAGCAUUAACAUUCAACUCCCAUCAAAUAUAGUACUUUGUUUCUCAUUUUGUUGGAAUUUUCAAUGCUCCUCGAAUUUAAAGCAUAUAAAAGGCAAAGUUCAAACAUUUAUUGUUAAAAAUAUAGAAUGUGUUGUGUUUAUAGGUUUUUUUUAAAGACAUUUGAUAAAUAUUUUUAUAAAAAAUAAUGUUUUAAACUACUUUUAGAGAAGGUUUAUGAAACUAACCAUGUAUACCAAAAAUAUAUUAAUUACCAAAAUAAACUAUUCGUAUUGUCCAAGUAUUGUUUAUAUAAUUUAUCCAAAGUAGACUUACAAAAGUAUUGUUCAUAUAAUUUAUCCAAACUAGACUUACAAAGUAAGGAUAGUACUUUUACAUUAAUUCAUCCAAAUGGUUUAAAUAGCAAAAUUAAAUUUAAAAAUUAAACAAACUUCAUUGAAUUUUAACUCAUUACAAAUUAACUGAAAAUGACAAUUGUUAAUCGGAUUGACAUUUUCUAUUAAAAAUUAAAUGACAACGGAAGUUUUCAACCUAAAACAACAAUUUACUUUUAUUUUUAACUGAAAAAACAACACACUUGUAUUAUAAACAUUAAAAAUAAACGUAUUUUUGUUAAUGACCUAAUUAAGACAUGAAUAUAUUUAUAUUUUUAACCUAACAUAUUAAUCAAUGUCAGUCACAACAUCUCUCUCUCUCUCUCUCUCUCUCAUAAUAUGACAUGUCUCUUUAAAAAAUUAAUCAUUGAACUGAAAACACACUUGUAUUAUAAACAUUAAAAAUAAACAUAUUUUUGUUAAUGACCUAAUUUAGACAUGAAUAUAUUUAUAUUUUUAACCUAACAUACUAAUGUAUGUUGUUGAACACCCAACAUCAGUCACAAGAUCUCUCUCUCUCUCUCUCUUAUAAUAUAACAUGUCUCUUAAAACAAAUUAAUCAUUGAACUGAAACUAAUCAUUGUUUGUAAAAAUAAAACCUAAUUGUCGAAACACGCAGAUUAGCCUAAACCACAGGGACCAUCCGUAUAACAUUUUCAUUAUAAUAAUUAAUAAUUUGUCUUAUUUUCUUAUAAAUUCAAAGUUUUCAAAUAUUUUUGACUUUUAUGUUUAAUUUUUCUUUUAAAUUAACCCAUGUAAUACAUGAGUUUCACAACUAGUAUAUAUANAUAUAUAUAUAUAUAUAUAGAUAGAUAGAUAGAUAGAUAGAGAGAGAGAGAGAUAGGUUCAAAUGUUUCUAGCAAUUAUUGUGUGCAUGUUUGCACCAAUCAGAAUUGAGGAAAUAAUAAAUCUUUAAAUAAAUCAUGUAAGGGUAUUAUAGUAAUCUUUGCAUGUUUAAUUAUGGUAAUUCAUUAACUUCCUAAAACCUAGUUUUCUCCCUUCUUUAUCUUCAAACGAUCGGCCUAAAAAACCUGUAGCCUCACCUCAAUCGGCAACUUCAAUGUUGUUUCUCUACCAGCCGACCAUCACCGAUUUCCUCUCCUCCCAUCCCUAAUUUCAAUUUAAUCCCUCUGUUGGCAAAUUAGGUCAUCCCUGAGAUUAGCCUACUUAAAUCGGGUGCUCACUUAAACCAACUUGAAUCCUCCAACUUCAAGGGGUAACGACAUCGUACGCCUUGAGUCUCUCUCACCAAGCGAAGAAUCUUCGGCGUCUCAUUCCAGCCACUGUUUCCUUGUUUCUCCGUUUAUCAGCUCCUGCGAUUGGCUCUCUUGUAUAACAACAGAAUACAGGUAUAUGAUUUGAUUAUUACCAUUUUCAAGGGGUAACGACUAAUCUGUUUGUUUCAAAUUUACAUUUUCUCGCAAGUUGCUUAGAUGGAUCUAUCAAAAGUAUGUUGUUGAAUAAAGAUUUGUACAGUUGUAAUUAGUCUUUUUAAUUGGGUGAAUUUGAGAUGCUUCA